ACUUAUCUCUACAGGGCAGGCAAAUCUUCUGGUGAAGUCCUGCUGUGCACAAGCUCUUCCAGUGGUCAGCAAAUGAGCAGUUUCCUCAUUUAAGGCUCACUGUGGUCUGAAGGUCGCCUUCGCACAGGAAUACACCAAGCUCAGGUGUGCCCAGAUGGCUCCGAGAAACCCAUGGGACCUCACAAUGGGAUUUACUGGCCGUAAUACUAUGCAAACGUAAACCUCCCUCUCCCUCCCACCGCUUUGGGUAACACCGAUCCAAAGAAAAUCCACCUCUUCCAAAUCUGCCCAUCGCAGCUUGCAGAGAGGUUCAGCUC